rfam:Cajanus cajan chromosome 8, whole genome shotgun sequence.
AAAGUUGAAUGAAGCCAAGGAUGACUUGCCGGCAUUAAUUUGCUACGAAGUUAGCAAGUUAGCUAAUCUUUAUUUGUUGAGUUUUCCCGGCGGGUCAUCCUGUGGCUAUGUUUGAUUUUCU